UUAAGGCCAUGGGAAGCUCCUGUCUCCUUGAACUGUGAAAGCAGUCUUAUGUGGCCAUCGACCUGCUCCAUGGAAUAGGACCCUCAGACAAUCAAGUAUCAGGAUGUGGCCCCUGGUGCUGCCUGCUUCAGCCUAAUCUAUGGAUUUGAAUGUGGAAUGUCUGCCUGAGAAAGCUGCAAGUCCUGAGUGCAACCAACCCAAGCGAAAGGUCAUGUGUUGCAAAUGACUGGACUGAUGGAAUGGAUCCGUUCAAGCUCACUGAAGUUCACAUGAAGCCAACACGUGCCCCACAGAUGGAGAUCUGAAGCUCAUCAGUGCGGCUAGGCUGUCUGGCCAACCAGCUCCAAGGAUCAACUUUCCCACUCCCCCCAGUGCUGCUGUCAGACUGGAACACUGUGUUCAGGGUUCCCUGAGCCCUGAGGGGAGGAAUUUGAUGGAAACAUCCUGUUUAGAGCCAAGUGUCCCAAGGUCCAAAAGAGACAUUUUAAAAGGGACAUCAAGAUGACCAACAUGAGUGUUUAGUUUCUCUGCAAGGAACAUAGAUAGCACUUGGCUCUGUCUUGUGGAGAACAGUCAUAGAUGCCAGCUUCCCUGAUCCCUACUCUGCCUGUUCCAGAGUGACGAGCUGCCGGGACCCCUUCACCAUGUGCUUGGGUAAGACUCUCUGAAUGGAAGUUACUCUCAUCCAAGUGAAGCCAAGCCAUCUCCACUCCACCCCUCUGAUGCCCUAUCAGAGUUCUCUUCACUCCGUGGUCCAGGGAUUCCCAAGUACAUCAAGAUAAACCUCCUACCCCACCACACCCUGCCAGGUCCAGGGUGUCCUCAAUCCUGCUCCUGCUCACCCACCAGGUUUGGAUCAUGGCUCUCACUGCAGAGCCAGCAGCCCAUUGGCCACUGGAAACCGAGUACUUGCCAGACUUAAGCCAGCUCUGGGCAGUAAACACUGGAGGUGAAAGAGGCUCUGGUCUCAAGGGUCCUUGGUCUCUACUUCUCUUUGCCGCUCCAAGUGGCCAUUGAGGAAUCUGGCCACCAAGAGUGGGAACUCCCAAGCUGGCAGGACACACCGUCCAGGGGACCCUGGGCUCUCCAGUAUGGUACACAGGACUCUUGCUUCACUGUUGGGUAAUGUGCUGUGGUUAUUACCAGUAUUUUGCAAGAAGUGAUGUUUAUGCGAUAUUUUACCACUGGCAAUUUGCUCGUGGUUUUCAGUUGGUGCCAAACCAGUCUCCAAAGACUGGAGUUCUGGAAACACACAGGGGGCAUGCGGAGCUGAGCCGGCUACCUUCAGAGCUCAGACUUGAGGCAGAACUCGCAAUUCACACUGCCUCCUAGGGCACCACUCAAGGGUCAAAGCCAUGUGCAGCAGAGCUCUGGUGCCUCCAUCAUAACCAGUCAGGCUCUCCACUUUGUCCUCCAGCCCAGGGUCAGACUGUUUGGCUAUUGUCACACCUCCCACUCAACAUCCUAAUCCCAGGGAACUAAGCUAGUUUGCAGAGGCAAACCCAAAGCAGGGGACCUUCUCUACUGGGCCAGAUCUUUGCUCACUACCUACCUCUCCUCUAGGUGCCCCUAUUAGCAGUUAUCUUCAGGCUGGCACCUACGAAUCCAUCCAGGCACUGGCAGUCUGCCCUAGGUUCUUCCCCUGAUAGCCCAAGUCCCCAUUGGUUUGAUUCCUCUUCUUGAAAUUAUAUCUAUUGCCAUUGCUUCAUCCCCAGGACUAAGUUCUUCUGCCUCCACAUGGGCCAUGGCAAAAGUCCCUGCCUGGAUUAUUUUGGGUGCUCUUCAUCCAUCCUCUUCCUUAUACUCAGAGUCAUACCCCAAUAGUGUCCAGAGUGGAUGCCUUGCCAAGAAGCCCAGAACAUGUUACAAGCCUCCAUGGGCCUCUCAGCCUUUUCUCUUAUGAAUAUACCUCCCCUGACCCCAACACCUAGGCAGCCCCUUGGGCCUUUGGUGAUGCCCUCUAGAUCCUUGUGCCCAGCAAGCUUUCCAGUCCAUCUAUGCCCAGGCUUUGCUAUAUUCACUGGAGUAGCUGGCACAGUUGUGGGUCCCCAGCAAAUGCUGAGUCCCCUUGGCCAGUAAGUGACCACUUCCAUUUCAUAAUGAUCACUGUGAUGGUUUAAAUCAGAAAUAUCCCUCAUAGGCUCAGGCAUUCAAACCCUUGGAUCCUGGUUAGUAGUGCUGUUUGGGGAGGUUUAGGUAGUGCAGCCUUGUGGAGGAGGUACAUCACUAGGGGUGGGUUUUGAGAAUGCAUAGCCUAGCCCUAUUACCAGUUCAUUCUGUUUCAUGCUUGUUAAAUAUGUGAUCUCUAAGCUUUCUGUACUGGCUGUCUGCUGUCACGCUGUCUCUACCAUUAUGGACUCUAACCCUCUGAAACUGUAAGACAAAAUAAAGUCUUCUGUUAGUCA